rnacentral:rRNA from 1 species
UACGGGGGGGCAAGCGUUGUUCGGAAUUACUGGGCGUAAAGGGCUCGUAGGUGGCCAACUAAGUCAGACGUGAAAUCCCCAGGCUUAACCUGGGAACUGCGUCUGAUACUGGAUGGCUUGAAUUCGGGAGAGGGAUGCAGAAUUCCAGGUGUAGCGGUGAAAUGCGUAGAUAUCUGGAGGAAUACCGGUGGCGAAGGCGGCAUCCUGGACCGACAUUGACGCUGAUGAGCGAAAGCUAGGGGAGCAAACGGG